UGAAUUCUCUGUGAAGUGCCAUCUGCCGGAUUAUGCACAGUGUCUCUGCCUUGACCUUUGUGUAAUCGUUCAACAAUAACAAACCCUUUCAGCUUCUAAAAAACCACGGUAAGACAAAUCCCUCAGAAAAUAACCCGUCGUCAGAGAAAGAAGAGCUGGCUAAGAGCCUAUGUGUCGUUUUUCUCAGUUGAGCUGAAAGGAUUGGCAGCAUUGUUCAUGAAAUUCAGAUGUUAGGGUUAUCAUCUUCUAAUUAAAGCAGACAGUGGACCGGGCUUUGUUCAGGAGCCGGACAGAAAUUUAAACGGACUGUGUAAAGCUGUAAAGAGGCUCCCGAGGGAUCUCAUUAUGAACUAUAUGAAGAGAGCCCAUCUGCACCAAGGCAUUGUCUUCAUUCUGCUGUAAAGAUGAGUUCUUGGCUGCUUGCUGUGUCAUGGCAUUUCAACACCAUCAAAAAAUCAUUACAGAUCAGAGAGGAACAGGAAGAUAGACAUGUCAGAUGUUAGACAUACAUUAUGUCACACAGAUUAUGAAUCUGUAUGAGGAGUUUGCAGAGCUGUCUGAGCAUGCAGUGACCACCCAUUCUUUCUCUCUGUCUGUUCUUGACCCUAAGGAACUCUACAUCAGAGGGGGAGCCUCUGUUUUCAACAUUGAUAAUAACUGAGCACCAAAUCAGCAUAUUAGAAUGAUUUCUGAAGACUCACGUGAUACUGAAAACUGCAGUUUUUACAUUUUAAAAUGUAUUGAAAUGGAGUUGUUUUAAAUUGUAAUGAUAUUUCACCAUAUUACACAAGUACAUACAUUCACCCUUGGUGAGCAUAAGAGAUGGUUUUAAAAACAUUAAAAUUGUACCAACCCCAAAUCCUAAAAGUGAAGACAACAUUGAAAUUCUAAAACAUUUGUAUCAGUUUGUGAUGAUUUAUAUUGGAAAAACAUUUAUCAAAUUGGAUUAGUGAAAUGUUCCUGUUUUGUGUUAGACUUUUGUUCCCCACUGUUUGCUCUAAAGGCCACUGCAUUAUUCUUAAAAGUACAAUGCAAGCACCUGGUCAGAACCCAAAGAAAAAACAAAGAAACCAGUAGUCAGUAGUUUAACUGACCCAAGUCAAACUUUGGCGGAAAACAAAAGCUGUGUCAAUGGAGGUUAAAGGCAAACAUCCUCCCUGCUGUUUGAGCAUAAAGUCUUUGUCCCCAAGUAUUUGUCCAUUCAAUCAGCUGUAGAAAUCACUCAUUCUGUCCCCAUCUUAAAUCUUAUAUACACUAGAAUGGAUACCACGUU
rnacentral:lncRNA from 1 species